rnacentral:rRNA from 1 species
AAUGCCGGAUGUUCCACAUGAGCGCAUGCGAGUGUGGGAAAGGCUUUUGCGGCAUGGGAUGGGGUCGCGUCCUAUCAGCUUGUUGGUGGGGUAACGGCCUACCAAGGCGUUGACGGGUAGCCGGCCUGAGAGGGCGACCGGCCACAUUGGGACUGAGAUACGGCCCAGACUCCUACGGGAGGCAGCAGUGGGGAAUAUUGCACAAUGGGCGCAAGCCUGAUGCAGCGACGCCGCGUGCGGGAUGGAGGCCUUCGGGUUGUAAACCGCUUUUGUUCAAGGGCAAGGCACGGUCUUUGGCCGUGUUGAGUGGAUUGUUCGAAUAAGCACCGGCUAACUACGUGCCAGCAGCCGCGGUAAUACGUAGGGUGCAAGCGUUAUCCGGAUUUAUUGGGCGUAAAGGGCUCGUAGGCGGUUCGUCGCGUCCGGUGUGAAAGUCCAUCGCUUAACGGUGGAUCCGCGCCGGGUACGGGCGGGCUUGAGUGCGGUAGGGGAGACUGGAAUUCCCGGUGUAACGGUGGAAUGUGUAGAUAUC